rnacentral:rRNA from 1 species
CACAUGCAGUCGAACGGUGAAGCAGAGCUUGCUCUGUGGAUCAGUGGCGAACGGGUGAGUAACACGUGAGCAACCUGCCCCGGACUCUGGGAUAAGCGCUGGAAACGGCGUCUAAUACCGGAUACGAGCUGCGAAGGCAUCUUCAGCAGCUGGAAAGAAUUUCGGUCCGGGAUGGGCUCGCGGCCUAUCAGCUUGUUGGUGAGGUAAUGGCUCACCAAGGCGUCGACGGGUAGCCGGCCUGAGAGGGUGACCGGCCACACUGGGACUGAGACACGGCCCAGACUCCUACGGGAGGCAGCAGUGGGGAAUAUUGCACAAUGGGCGAAAGCCUGAUGCAGCAACGCCGCGUGAGGGACGACGGCCUUCGGGUUGUAAACCUCUUUUAGCAGGGAAGAAGCGAAAGUGACGGUACCUGCAGAAAAAGCGCCGGCUAACUACGUGCCAGCAGCCGCGGUAAUACGUAGGGCGCAAGCGUUAUCCGGAAUCAUUGGGCGUAAAGAGCUCGUAGGCGGUCUGUCGCGUCUGCUGUGAAAACCCGAGGCUCAACCUCGGGCCUGCAGUGGGUACGGGCAGACUAGAGUGCGGUAGGGGAGAUUGGAAUUCCUGGUGUAGCGGUGGAAUGCGCAGAUAUCAGGAGGAACACCGAUGGCGAAGGCAGAUCUCUGGGGCCGUAACUGACGCUGAGGAGCGAAAGGGUGGGGAGCAAACAGGCUUAGAUACCCUGGUAGUCCACCCCGUAAACGUUGGGAACUAGUUGUGGGGGACCAUUCCACGGUUUCCGUGACGCAGCUAACGCAUUA